rnacentral:rRNA from 1 species
UACAUGGGGUGCAAACGUUGCUCGGAAUUAUUGGGCGUAAAGCGCACGUAGGCGGUUCGUUAAGUCGGAUGUGAAAGCCCUCGGCUCAACUGAGGAAGUGCACCCGAAACUGGCGAGCUUGAGUACGAAAGAGGAUCGCGGAAUUCCCGGUGUAGAGGUGAAAUUCGUAGAUAUCGGGAGGAACACCGGUGGCGAAGGCGACCCUCUGGACGGACACUGACGCUGAGACGCGAAAGCGUGGGUAGCAAACAGG